rnacentral:rRNA from 1 species
GGUUCGGAACAACCCUGGGAAACUUGGGCUAAUACCGGAUACGCCCUUUAGGAAAAAGGCUUACUGCCGAAGGAUCGGCCCGCGUCUGAUUAGCUGGUUGGUGAGGUAAUGGCUUACCAAGGCGAAGAUCAGUAGCUGGUCUGAGAGGAUGAUCAGCCACACUGGGACUGAGACACGGCCCAGACUCCUACGGGAGGCAGCAGUGGGGAAUAUUGGACAAUGGGCGCAAGCCUGAUCCAGCCAUGCCGCGUGGAGUGAUGAAGGCCUUAGGGUUGUAAAGCUCUUUUAUCCGGGACGAUAAUGACGGUACCGGAGGAAUAAGCCCCGGCUAACUUCGUGCCAGCAGCCGCGGUAAU